rnacentral:rRNA from 1 species
GCUCGAGUGGCGAACGGGUGAGUAACACGUGAGUAACCUGCCCUUGACUUUGGGAUAACUUCAGGAAACUGGGGCUAAUACCGGAUAGGAGCUCCUGCUGCAUGGUGGGGUUUGGAAAGUUUCGGCGGUUGGGGAUGGACUCGCGGCUUAUCAGCUUGUUGGUGGGGUAGUGGCUUACCAAGACUUUGACGGGUAGCCGGCCUGAGAGGGUGACCGGCCACAUUGGGACUGAGAUACGGCCCAG